UCGGAAUUACUGGGCGUAAAGCGUGCGCAGGCGGUUGGUUAAGUCUGAUGUGAAAGCCCCGGGCUCAACCUGGGAAUGGCCUUGGAAACUGGCCAGCUGGAGUGUGGCAGAGGGGGGUGGAAUUCCGCGUGUAGCAGUGAAAUGCGUAGAGAUCUGGAGGAACACCGAUGGCGAAGGCAGCCCCCUGGGCUAAAACUGACGCUCAUGCACGAAAGCGUGGGGAGCAAACAGG
rnacentral:rRNA from 1 species